GCGUCUGUAGCUCAGGUGGAUAGAGCGGUGGUUUCCUAAACCAUGUGCCGGUGGUUCGAGUCCGCCCAGGCGCACCA
rnacentral:tRNA from 1 species